AUUGAACGCUGGCGGCAGGCUUAACACAUGCAAGUCGAGCGGGGGAAGGUAGCUUGCUACCGGACCUAGCGGCGGACGGGUGAGUAAUGCUUAGGAAUCUGCCUAUUAGUGGGGGACAACAUCUCGAAAGGGAUGCUAAUACCGCAUACGUCCUACGGGAGAAAGCAGGGGAUCUUCGGACCUUGCGCUAAUAGAUGAGCCUAAGUCGGAUUAGCUAGUUGGUGGGGUAAAGGCCUACCAAGGCGACGAUCUGUAGCGGGUCUGAGAGGAUGAUCCGCCAGACUGGGACUGAGACACGGCCCAGACUCCGACGGGAGGAAGCAGGGGGGAAUAUUGGACAAUGGGGGGAACCCUGAUCCAGCCAUGCCGCGUGUGUGAAGAAGGCCUUAUGGUUGUAAAGCACUUUAAGCGAGGAGGAGGCUACUCUAGUUAAUACCUAGGGAUAGUGGACGUUACUCGCAGAAUAAGCACCGGCUAACUCUGUGCCAGCCGCCGCCGCCG
rnacentral:rRNA from 1 species